rnacentral:rRNA from 1 species
UUCUGGUUGAUCCUGCCGGAGGUUACUGCUAUUGGAAUCCGAUUAAGCCAUGCGAGUCGAUCGGGUCAGACCCGAGGCGCACUGCUCAGUAACACGUGGAGAAUCUGCCCUUAGGUGAGGAAUAACCUCGGGAAACUGAGAAUAAUACCUCAUAGGUUAUGGAUGCUGGAAUGCUUCAUAGCCCAAAGCCCCGGCGCCUAAGGAUGACUCUGCGGACUAUCAGGUAGUAGUCAGGGUAACGACCUGACUAGCCUACGACGGAUACGGGGUGUGAGAGCACUAGCCCGGAGAUGGAUUCUGAGACACGAAUCCAGGCCCUACGGGGUGCAGCAGGCGCGAAACUUCCGCAAUGCUCGCCAGAGUGACGGAGGGAUUCCAAGUGCCUAUGCUAUGCGUAGGCUGUUUUUAUGUCUAAAUAACAUGGAGAGUAAGAGCUGGGUAAGACGGGUGCCAGCCGCCGCGGUAA